UAGAUCAGCUAAGAUGUACCC
rnacentral:snRNA from 1 species